rnacentral:misc_RNA from 1 species
AACGCACCUUGCGCCCCUUGGAAUUCUAAUGGGCAUGCCUGUUUGAGUAUCAUGAAAUAUUUUCAAAAAAUGGACUUGCUCGAUUUUUUGGAUUUGGAUGUCUGCUGUUUGAAAGCUCAUCCUAAAUGAAUUAGCUUGAGAACUCUCUCCCUUUGGCAUAAUAAUAUACUUUUAUUGCUUCAGUUUGGAGAAGGGAAUUGAGCUUCUAAAAAGUCGAAAUGAAAAAAAUAAAGAAAGGCGUUCCUCUCUUUUAACACAGAGGGUUGUUAGCAUCGAUCUUUGUUUUUCUUGUCUCUUCUCUUUUCAAAAUUUGAUCUCAAAUCAGGUAGGACUACCUGCUGAACUUAA